rnacentral:lncRNA from 1 species
CUUGGCAUCCUUCCAUCACCAGCACCUUCACCCAACUCACCAGAAACAUCAGUACCAGCACCAGCACCAUCACCAGCAGGCUCAACCACAACAGCAGGCGCCUUAGCCUCACCGGUAGCCUCGCCUUCACUGGCAGCCUCGCCUUCAACGGUAGCCUCACCCUCACCCUCACCAAACUCAUAUUCUUCAUCAUCCUCUUGAGGUGGAGGAGGAUGAGGAUCGAAAACUUCGAGGGGAAUUUGAGAGUGUCCCUGUGGUCUUCUUAUAGUUUUUCCUCCGCGGAAAUACGGAGAAGAAAGGCGAUGCACAGGAAUUCGAUUCCUCUGCACCCUUUCAACCCUUGCCCACUGACCACCCCUUGUCACCCUUCCAUCACCAGCACCUUCACCCACAUCCUCAUCAGCAGCAGCAAUAAGCACCAGCACCCUCACCGGCAGGCUCAACCACAACAACAGGCGCCUCAUGCGCCUCAGCCUCACCCACAUUCUCACCAGCAGCAAUAUCAGCACCAACACCCUCACAGGCAGGCUCAACCACAAUAGGCGCCUCAUGCGCCUCAGCCUCACCGGUAGCCUCACCGGUAGCCUCACCAAACUCAUAUUCUUCAUCAUCCUCUUGAGGUGGAGGAGGAUGAGGAUCGACAACUUCGAGGGGAAUUUGAGAGUGUCCCUGUGGUCUUCUUAUAGUUCUUCCUCUGCAGAAAUACGGAGAAGAAAGGC